ACCGUGCUAAGGUAGCGUGAUAAUUCGCCCUUUAAUUGUGGGCUUGUAUGAAUGGACAAACGAAAAGUUAGCUGUCUCAAUUUUAAACCUAAAAAUUAGCCUUCAGGUGAAGAGACCUGAAUAAAAAUAGAGGACAAGAAGACCCCGUAGAGCUCUGCGCGGCACUUAAAUAUUCUUUAUUUACCCCUAACAUAAUAUUAUCUUUUCUUUCCUCGCUUUGCUGGGGCGGCAGAGGAAACUAAUCUUCCAUCUUUCCUAUUUUGCCCUUAUCGGUUUACUAACCUUAUUCUAAUUGAUCCUUCUAAGAACACAGAAAAAAGCUACCUCGGGGAUAACAGAUUAAUCCUUCUUGAGAGCCCGCAUUGACAGAAGGGAUUGACACCUCGAUGUUGGCUUAGGAUACCCAAUAGAUUUGCAGCAGUCUUUAACGGUAGGUUUGUUCAACCUUUAAAAUCCUACAUGAUCUGA
rnacentral:rRNA from 1 species